CGGGUGAGUAACGCGUGAGGAACCUGCCUCAAAGAGGGGGACAACAGUUGGAAACGACUGCUAAUACCGCAUAAGCCCACGGCUCGGCAUCGAGCAGAGGGAAAGGGAGCAAUCCGCUUUGAGAUGGCCUCGCGUCCGAUUAGCUAGUUGGUGAGGUAACGGCCCACCAAGGCGACGAUCGGUAGCCGGACUGAGAGGUUGAACGGCCACAUUGGGACUGAGACACGGCCCAG
rnacentral:rRNA from 1 species